rnacentral:rRNA from 1 species
AGGACGAACGCUGGCGGCGUGCUUAACACAUGCAAGUCGAGCGAGGCCCUCUCUUCGGAGAGGUGCCCUAGCGGCGAACGGGUGAGUAACACGUGGGCAACCUGCCCCUAGCACUGGGAUAAGCCCGGGAAACCGGGUCUAAUACCGGAUAUGACCUUCAAGGGCAUCCUCGAAGGUGUAAAGGAUUCUGGCUAGGGAUGGGCCCGCGGCCUAUCAGCUUGUUGGUGGGGUAAUGGCCCGCCAAGGCAACGACGGGUAGCCGGCCUGAGAGGGCGACCGGCCACACUGGGACUGAGACACGGCCCAGACUCCUACGGGAGGCAGCAGUGGGGAAUAUUGCACAAUGGGCGAAAGCCUGAUGCAGCGACGCCGCGUGAGGGAUGACGGCCUUCGGGUUGUAACCUCUUUCAGCUCCGACGAAGCGAAGUGACGGUAGGAGCAGAAGAAGCACCGGCCAACUACGUGCCAGCAGCCGCGGUAA